CAGGACAGGGGGGCGGUCGCGCCCGGGAGCCGAACCUCCCGGGUGAGGAAAGUCCGGGCACCAUAGGGCAGGGUGCCAGCUAACAGCUGGGCGGGGUAACCCGACGGAAAGUGCCACAGAGAAAAGACCGCCAGCGGCCAGGCCAAGGCCUGGUGCGGGCAAGGGUGAAACGGUGGGGUAAGAGCCCACCGCGCCUCCUGGAAACAGGGGCGGCACGGCAAACCCCACCCGGUGCAAGGCCCAGUAGAGGGGAAGGGCUUGCCCGGCCCGCCACAACCCCUGGGAUGGGCCGCUUGAGGCCGGCGGCGACGCCGGUGUCAUCCGUCAUGCUUUCAGGACAGUAUCAGUCACGCUAUUAGGUCAA
rnacentral:RNase_P_RNA from 1 species